CUACAAUGGGUAGUACAGAGGGUUGCCAAACCGUAAGGUGGAGCUAAUCCCUUAAAGCUACUCUCAGUUCGGAUUGUAGGCUGAAACUCGCCUACAUGAAGCUGGAGUUACUAGUAAUCGCAGAUCAGAAUGCUGCGGUGAAUGCGUUCCCGGGUCUUGUACACACCGCCCGUCACACCACGGGAGUUGGAGACGCCCGAAGCCGAUUAUCUAACCUUUUGGAAGAAGUCGUCGAAGGUGGAAUCAAUAACUGGGGUGAAGUCGUAACAAGGUAGCCGUAUCGGAAGGUGCGGCUGGAUC
rnacentral:rRNA from 1 species